rnacentral:ncRNA from 19 species
GAGGUUAAUGACCAAGUGCCCGUAUCGGUGAAAACAGGCAGAUCGUAAAGACGCCGUAAAUACAUCCUUGUAGGCUCGAACCGCGCCUUCCCUGGCGCGGACGCUUU